GCCGCGUUAGCGUAGUGGUCAUCGCAUCGCACUUGUACCGCUUCUGGGCUUAUGCGAAGGUCACUCGUUCAAAUCGGGUACGUGGCA